rnacentral:lncRNA from 12 species
CUGGAAGCUGACCAAAAUCUGCACAGUAAUAUUAACUCCACUUAAAAAAAGGAAGAGAACAUAUUGAACUGCAUUCACUUAUGGUCUGGAUGCUUGGAAGAAAUCAGUUGAUGUCGAGAAACUGCAAUUCCUAUUAAGAACACUUGACUGUUUACUCAGCACGAGAACCUCAGCCCCGCUCUGCAUCAAUCUAAAUGCGUUUCGAGACGUCAGGCCCCCGAAAAGUGCAGACGAGAAAGCAGUGACCUGCCGGAAUCAUGGGGGCUGAGCGGGAACGUGGCCAUGCAGGCUUCCAGCCCCAUGCCGGAGGAUUUGGCUCUCCAGGAGGCGGAAGCCCAAGAAAGACACACGUUGGCACCUGCUGACUUCAGUAUGGGGGUUGGUUCUGAGGGUGGGUGAACAGAGUGGAAAAAACAAGAUUCAAGAAUCUUCCUACAUAUGUAAUUUCAUUUCCUUCAUUCAGAAGAAUCAAACUGA